rnacentral:ncRNA from 1 species
AACGUGCUCCGGGGUCGGUGAGAAUCCGAACCGGCGGUGACAGUCCGCGAGCGUCUCGGUUCUCCGAGGUGCCGAUCCGGUGGAAUUCCGGGACCGACGGUGAUGCGAGGCCCGGCCUCGCUAGUCCGGAAGGGAGGCAGCACGGU